rnacentral:rRNA from 1 species
GGUUAAGCGACUAAGCGUACACGGUGGAUGCCCUGGCAGUCAGAGGCGAUGAAGGACGUGCUAAUCUGCGAAAAGCGUCGGUAAGGUGAUAUGAACCGUUACAGCCGGCGAUGUCCGAAUGGGGAAACCCAGUGCAAUUCGUUGCACUAUCGUUAACUGAAUACAUAGGUUAACGAGGCGAACCGGGGGAACUGAAACAUCUAAGUACCCCGAGGAAAAGAAAUCAACCGAGAUUCCCCCAGUAGCGGCGAGCGAACGGGGAGCAGCCCAGAGUCUGAAUCAGCUUGUGUGUUAGUGGAACGGUCUGGAAAGUCCGACGGUACAGGGUGAUAGUCCCGUACACCAAAAUGCACAGGCUGUGAACUCGAAGAGUAGGGCGGGACACGUGGUAUCCUGUCUGAAUAUGGGGGGACCAUCCUCCAAGGCUAAAUACUCCUGACUGACCGAUAGUGAACCAGUACCGUGAGGGAAAGGCGAAAAGAACCCCGGCGAGGGGAGUGAAAAAGAACCUGAAACCGUGUACGUACAAGCAGUGGGAGCACCUUCGGGUGUGACUGCGUACCUUUUGUAUAAUGGGUCAGCGACUUAUAUUCUGUAGCAAGGUUAACCGUAUAGGGGAGCCGCAGGGAAACCGAGUCUUAACUGGGCGUUAAGUUGCAGGGUAUAGACCCGAAACCCGGUGAUCUAGCCAUGGGCAGGUUGAAGGUUGGGUAACACUAACUGGAGGACCGAACCGACUAAUGUUGAAAAAUUAGCGGAUGACUUGUGGCUGGGGGUGAAAGGCCAAUCAAACCGGGAGAUAGCUGGUUCUCCCCGAAAGCUAUUUAGGUAGCGCCUCGUGAACUCAUCUUCGGGGGUAGAGCACUGUUUCGGCUAGGGGGUCAUCCCGACUUACCAACCCGAUGCAAACUACGAAUACCGAAGAAUGUUAUCACGGGAGACACACGGCGGGUGCUAACGUCCGUCGUGAAGAGGGAAACAACCCAGACCGCCAGCUAAGGUCCCAAAGUCACAGUUAAGUGGGAAACGAUGUGGGAAGGCACAGACAGCCAGGAUGUUGGCUUAGAAGCAGCCAUCAUUUAAAGAAAGCGUAAUAGCUCACUGGUCGAGUCGGCCUGCGCGGAAGAUGUAACGGGGCUAAACUGUGCACCGAAGCUGCGGCAGCGACACUAUGUGUUGUUGGGUAGGGGAGCGUUCUGUAAGCCUGCGAAGGUGGCCUGUGAGGGUUGCUGGAGGUAUCAGAAGUGCGAAUGCUGACAUAAGUAACGAUAAUGCGGGUGAAAAGCCCGCACGCCGGAAGACCAAGGGUUCCUGUCCAACGUUAAUCGGGGCAGGGUGAGUCGACCCCUAAGGCGAGGCCGAAAGGCGUAGUCGAUGGGAAACAGGUUAAUAUUCCUGUACUUGGUGUUACUGCGAAGGGGGGACGGAGAAGGCUAUGUUAGCCGGGCGACGGUUGUCCCGGUUUAAGCAUGUAGGCGGAGGUUCCAGGUAAAUCCGGUACCUUUUAACGCUGAGGUGUGAUGACGAGGCACUACGGUGCUGAAGUAACAAAUGCCCUGCUUCCAGGAAAAGCCUCUAAGCAUCAGGUAACAUUGAAUCGUACCCCAAACCGACACAGGUGGUCAGGUAGAGAAUACCAAGGCGCUUGAGAGAACUCGGGUGAAGGAACUAGGCAAAAUGGUGCCGUAACUUCGGGAGAAGGCACGCUGAUAUGUAGGUGAAGUCCCUGCGGAUGGAGCUGAAAUCAGUCGAAGAUACCAGCUGGCUGCAACUGUUUAUUAAAAACACAGCACUGUGCAAACACGAAAGUGGACGUAUACGGUGUGACGCCUGCCCGGUGCCGGAAGGUUAAUUGAUGGGGUUAUCCGUAAGGAGAAGCUCUUGAUCGAAGCCCCGGUAAACGGCGGCCGUAACUAUAACGGUCCUAAGGUAGCGAAAUUCCUUGUCGGGUAAGUUCCGACCUGCACGAAUGGCGUAAUGAUGGCCAGGCUGUCUCCACCCGAGACUCAGUGAAAUUGAACUCGCUGUGAAGAUGCAGUGUACCCGCGGCAAGACGGAAAGACCCCGUGAACCUUUACUAUAGCUUGACACUGAACAUUGAGCCUUGAUGUGUAGGAUAGGUGGGAGGCUUUGAAGCGUGGACGCCAGUCUGCGUGGAGCCAACCUUGAAAUACCACCCUUUAAUGUUUGAUGUUCUAACGUUGGCCCCUAAUCGGGGUUGCGGACAGUGUCUGGUGGGUAGUUUGACUGGGGCGGUCUCCUCCCAAAGAGUAACGGAGGAGCACGAAGGUUAGCUAAUCCUGGUCGGACAUCAGGAGGUUAGUGCAAUGGCAUAAGCUAGCUUGACUGCGAGCGUGACGGCGCGAGCAGGUGCGAAAGCAGGUCAUAGUGAUCCGGUGGUUCUGAAUGGAAGGGCCAUCGCUCAACGGAUAAAAGGUACUCCGGGGAUAACAGGCUGAUACCGCCCAAGAGUUCAUAUCGACGGCGGUGUUUGGCACCUCGAUGUCGGCUCAUCACAUCCUGGGGCUGAAGUAGGUCCCAAGGGUAUGGCUGUUCGCCAUUUAAAGUGGUACGCGAGCUGGGUUUAGAACGUCGUGAGACAGUUCGGUCCCUAUCUGCCGUGGGCGCUGGAGAAUUGAGGGGGGCUGCUCCUAGUACGAGAGGACCGGAGUGGACGCAUCACUGGUGUUCGGGUUGUCAUGCCAAUGGCAUUGCCCGGUAGCUAAAUGCGGAAGAGAUAAGUGCUGAAAGCAUCUAAGCACGAAACUUGCCCCGAGAUGAGUUCUCCCUGAGACUUUAAGUCUCCUGAAGGAACGUUAAAGACGAUGACGUUGAUAGGUCGGGUGUGUAAGCGUAGCGAUACGUUGAGCUAACCGAUACUAAUGAACCGUGAGGCUUAACCUU